ACCAAACUUAUUCAAACUUGUCAAAAUUCACAAUUCACAUACUUUGAGUAGUUUCUGAAUCAUAGUCAUUAUUAUAUGUAUGUUCAUUUCUCCUAACUGGUAAUGGAAUGGAAUGGUUUCGGUCACUACCCGUCAUAAACCAGUGCGAUUCUUCACCAAACAAAUCUUUCAGCGAAUAUUGUUUCAGUCAUGAUCAACGGUUACUCAUGAUCAAUUGCAAAACCAUGUUAAUUCAAACCAAAAUAUGGUACUCAAAUAUCAUAAUGAAAUAGUAAUAUGUUAAUCCAUUUUAAAGAACGUAAGUAACCCAUAGGCACACCAGAAUAAUAAAAUUCAAAGGCAAUAUACUCCAAGUAUGAUUUUUGAAUGCCACAUAUAUGCAUUAAAACAAAUUUAAAUUUAAAAACUAUUUCUACUUAAGGAACCCAACGUCAUAAAACACACAUAUUACAUGUGCCAACACAAUCUUUUAUGUUCCCUGGUAACACUUUAUUCUUCACACAUUUUAAAAUCCAUGAUUAUGUACCACAAGUGAUCCCUGGCAAAACUAUAUGAAUGCACGGCAAGUAUAGCAUGCGUGAAAUAACUAAGCCAAAUUCAUUUAUUCAUACAAAUACAUUCACAAUCGAUAUUCACAUCAUCACCACAGUAACAAACAAAUUCUCAUGUAAAUAUCAUAUAAUUAUAUAAUAAUUUCAAUGUUCAAACAAGAAGGGUUAGUGAUACUUAUCUCUUCAAAUUUUGCGACAAAGGCGGUAGUCAUCCUCUUCAAAUUUGCAGUCAUCAAUUAAUCACAAACAAAUCAUGAAUCGAACCUAAAGAUUGUUAGAACAUUUUGUUGGGGACUGCUGCAAAUACUCGAACAAGAAGAUGAUGAUGAAGAACAUGAUGAACAUAUUGCACAAAUUCCAAAGCGUGUGUAUCACACUAAACUUUAGNU
rnacentral:lncRNA from 1 species